AAUGGGUCAGCGACUUAUAUUCUGUAGCAAGGUUAACCGAAUAGGGGAGCCGGAGGGAAACCGAGUCUUAAUUGGGCGUUAAGUUGCAGGGUAUAGACCCGAAACCCGGUGAUCUAGCCAUGGGCAGGUUGAAGGUUGGGUAACACUAACUGGAGGACCGAACCGACUAAUGUUGAAAAAUUAGCGGAUGACCUGUGGCUGGGGGUGAAAGGCCAAUCAAACCGGGAGAUAGCUGGUUCUCCCCGAAAGCUAUUUAGGUAGCGCCUCGUGAAUUCAUCUCCGGGGGUAGAGCACUGUUUCGGCUAGGGGGCCAUCCCGGCUUACCAACCCGAUGCAAACUGCGAAUACCGGAGAAUGUUAUCACGGGAGACACACGGCGGGUGCUAACGUCCGUCGUGAAGAGGGAAACAACCCAGACCGCCAGCUAAGGUCCCAAAGUCAUGGUUAAGUGGGAAACGAUGUGGGAAGGCCCAGACAGCCAGGAUGUUGGCUUAGAAGCAGCCAUCAUUUAAAGAAAGCGUAAUAGCUCACUGGUCGAGUCGGCCUGCGCGGAAGAUGUAACGGGGCUAAACCAUGCACCGAAGCUGCGGCAGCGAACGUAUCACCCAAGACAACUUUACGGAGUUGACGAUUGACGGAGCGAAGCGACGUCAAAGCGUUCAUUAAAGUCGAGUUGGCUUAGGGAUACGUUCGUUGGGUAGGGGAGCGUUCUGUAAGCCUGUGAAGGUGUGUCGUGAGGC
rnacentral:rRNA from 1 species